rnacentral:rRNA from 1 species
GAUCGCCCGCGUUGGUACUGAGACACGGACCAGACUACUACGGGAGGCAGCAGUGAGGAAUAUUGGACAAUGGGCGCAAGCCUGAUCCAGCCAUGCCGCGUGCAGGAAGACGGCCCUAUGGGUUGUAAACUGCUUUUAUACAGGAAGAAACACCCCGACGUGUCGGGGCUUGACGGUACUGUAGGAAUAAGGAUCGGCUAACUCCGUGCCAGCAGCCGCGGUAAUACCGAGGAUCCAAGCGUUAUCCGGAAUCAUUGGGUUUAAAGGGUCCGUAAGUGGACGAUUAAGUCAUAGGUGAAAUCCUGCAACUCAACUGUAGAAUUGCCUUUGAAACUGGUUGUCUUGAAUCAUUGUGAAGUGGUUAAAAUAUGUGGUGUAGCGGAGAAAUGCAUAGAUAUCUCAUAGAAUACCGAUUGCUAAGGCAGAUCCAUAACUAUGUAUUGACACUGAUGGACUAAAGCGUGGGGAGCGAUCAGGAUUUAAUACCCUGGCAUCCCACACCGCAAACGAUGGAUAUUACCUGUCCGGCCCAAAGCUCGGCGGCUAAGCGAAGUGAUAAAUAUCCCACCUGG